AGAGUUUGAUCCUGGCUCAGGACGAACGCUGGCGGCGUGCUUAACACAUGCAAGUCGAACGAUGAAAGCAGGAGCUUGCUUUUGCUGGAUUAGUGGCGAACGGGUGAGUAACACGUGAGUAACCUGCCCUUGACUCUGGGAUAAGCGUUGGAAACGACGUCUAAUACCGGAUACGAGCUAGGACCGCAUGGUCACUAGUUGGAAAGAAUUUCGGUCAAGGAUGGACUCGCGGCCUAUCAGCUAGUUGGUGAGGUAACGGCUCACCAAGGCGACGACGGGUAGCCGGCCUGAGAGGGUGACCGGCCACACUGGGACUGAGACACGGCCCAGACUCCUACGGGAGGCAGCAGUGGGGAAUAUUGCACAAUGGGCGCAAGCCUGAUGCAGCAACGCCGCGUGAGGGACGACGGCCUUCGGGUUGUAAACCUCUUUUAGCAGGGAAGAAGCGAAAGUGACGGUACCUGCAGAAAAAGCACCGGCUAACUACGUGCCAGCAGCCGCGGUAAUACGUAGGGUGCAAGCGUUGUCCGGAAUUAUUGGGCGUAAAGAGCUCGUAGGCGGUUUGUCGCGUCUGCUGUGAAAAUCCGAGGCUCAACCUCGGACCUGCAGUGGGUACGGGCAAACUAGAGUGCGGUAGGGGAGAUUGGAAUUCCUGGUGUAGCGGUGGAAUGCGCAGAUAUCAGGAGGAACACCAAUGGCGAAGGCAGAUCUCUGGGCCGUAACUGACGCUGAGGAGCGAAAGCGUGGGGAGCGAACAGGAUUAGAUACCCUGGUAGUCCACGCCGUAAACGGUGGGAACUAGAUGUGGGGUCCGUUCCACGGAUUCCGUGUCGCAGCUAACGCAUUAAGUUCCCCGCCUGGGGAGUACGGCCGCAAGGCUAAAACUCAAAGGAAUUGACGG
rnacentral:rRNA from 1 species